GAUGAACGCUCGCGGGAGGCCUAACACAUGCAAGCCGAGCGGUAUUUGUUCUUCGGAACAGAGAGAGCGGCGCACGGGUGCGGAACACGUGUGCAACCUGCCUUUAUCUGGGGGAUAGCCUUUCGAAAGGAAGAUUAAUACCCCAUAAUAUAUUGAGUGGCAUCACUUGAUAUUGAAAACUCCGGUGGAUAGAGAUGGGCACGCGCAAGAUUAGAUAGUUGGUGAGGUAACGGCUCACCAAGUCAAUGAUCUUUAGGGGGCCUGAGAGGGUGAUCCCCCACACUGGUACUGAGACACGGACCAGACUCCUACGGGAGGCAGCAGUGAGGAAUAUUGGACAAUGGGUUAGCGCCUGAUCCAGCCAUCCCGCGUGAAGGACGACGGCCCUAUGGGUUGUAAACUUCUUUUGUAUAGGGAUAAACCUACUCUCGUGAGAGUAGCUGAAGGUACUAGACGAAUAAGCACCGGCUAACUCCGUG
rnacentral:rRNA from 1 species